UGGGGAAUAUUGCACAAUGGGCGCAAGCCUUAUGCAGCCAUGCCGCGUGUAUGAAGAAGGCCUUCGGGUUGUAAAGUACUUUCAGCGGGGAGGAAGGGAGUAAAUUUAAUACCUUUGCUCAUUGACGUUACCCGCAGAAGAAGCACCGGCUAACUCCGUGCCAGCAGCCGCGGUAAUACGGAGGGUGCAAGCGUUAAUCGGAAUUACUGGGCGUAAAGCGCACGCAGGCGGUUUGUUAAGUCAGAUGUGAAAUCCCCGGGCUCAACCUGGGAACUGCAUCUGAUACUGGCAAGCUUGAGUCUCGUAGAGGGGGGUAGAAUUCCAGGUGUAGCGGUGAAAUGCGUAGAGAUCUGGAGGAAUACCGGUGGCGAAGGCGGCCCCCUGGACGAAGACUGACGCUCAGGUGCGAAAGCGUGGGGAGCAAACAGG
rnacentral:rRNA from 1 species